CAGUAGCCGCGGGAAUACAGAGGGUGCAAGCGUUAUCCGGAGUGACUGGGCGUAAAGAGUUGCGUAGGUGGUUUGUUAAGCGAAUAGUGAAAUCUGGCGGCUCAACCGUACAGACUAUUAUUCGAACUGGCAAACUCGAGAAUGGUAGAGGUAACUGGAAUUUCUGAAGUAGGGGUAAUAUCCGUAGAUAUCAGAAGGAACACCAAUGGCGUAGGCAGGUUACUGGACCAUUUCUGACACUGAGGCACGAAAGCGUGGGGAGCGAACCGGAUUAGAUACCCCUGUAGUCCCUGUCUCUUAU
rnacentral:rRNA from 1 species